rnacentral:sRNA from 1 species
UUUAUUAGCCGCUUAUGUUCCGAAUAUCCAAGGAAAGAAAAAUGAGUGACCAGUUCCAAACAACACAUAUACUGAAAGGAUGUACUUAUUAGUCCCGUCACUUACCAAGUUUAAUAAGUAACGACCAAGUGUUGUGCCUCGAUUCUCAUCAACCACAUCGAUUCCUGGCACACAAAAAAUCCAUGCCCCAUAGAAAUGCCCGCUUCCGUUCGGAGUCCCAUUCCAGGAUCCCCUCCAGAUGUCCUGGCCACGUUGCUAAUACGACGCGUUGGCCUAACCCUCAUAAGCAUAAAGCAAACAGCCAGCAAACAGUUGCAACUCAGCCAAAAGCUAUAAUAAAGUUGCGGAAGUAAACAGCAAAGCGAAAUAAACAAGAAGC